AUUGAACUCUGGCGGCAGGCCUAACACAUGCAAGUCGCGCGAGCGGCGGACGGGUGAGUAAUGUAUGGGGAACUGCCCGAUGGAGGGGGAUAACUACUGGAAACGGUAGCUAAUACCGCAUAACAUCAGAUGAACCCAUAUGGGAUUAGCUUGCAGGUGAGGUAACGGCUAACCUAGGCGACGAUCCCUAGCUGGUCUGAGAGGAUGAUCAGCCACACUGGGACUGAGACACGGCCCAGACUCCUACGGGAGGCAGCAGUGGGGAAUAUUGCACAAUGGGCGCAAGCCUGAUGCAGCCAUGCCGCGUGUAUGAAGAAGGCCUUCGGGUUGUAAAGUACUUUCAGUCGGGAGGCGUUACCGACAGAAGAAGCACCGGCUAACUCCGUGCCAGCAGCCGCGGUAAUUC
rnacentral:rRNA from 1 species